rnacentral:rRNA from 1 species
UACGAAGGGGGCUAGCGUUGCUCGGAAUCACUGGGCGUAAAGCGCACGUAGGCGGAUCUUUAAGUCAGGGGUGAAAUCCUGGAGCUCAACUCCAGAACUGCCUUUGAUACUGGGGAUCUCGAGUCCGGAAGAGGUGAGUGGAACUCCGAGUGUAGAGGUGAAAUUCGUAGAUAUUCGGAAGAACACCAGUGGCGAAGGCGACUUACUGGACACAUAUUGACGCUGAGGUGCGAAAGCGUGGGGAGCAAACAGG